UAUCUUCUACUUUUUGUUUUACCUUUUUUACAGCUGCACAAAGUUUAACUACAAAAACCCUGCAUUUGUAGUUGAGAGUUUUAUGAUCUCUAAAAUGUAGUAGGCUUGUCAUAUUUAAUUUAUGUUUGGUGAGUCAUGUUUAAUAAUAUGCCAGAGCAGUGAAGGCAAACUGAUAAGCGCAGUAAAGGAAAGGAAAGGAUGGAAGGAAGGAACGGAGGAGAGAAGAAGCGAGUUCACACUACUCGGACUGAUCAGUUUACCUUGAAUGCUCUGACUGGAACCUAAAUGUCAGCGCCCGUUCAGAUAAACCGCGUGCUUUGCUUGAAGUGCAUAACAUUGAACGUGUGUAGGCUGAGAAUGCAGUUGCUGUUUUUAAACUAACGUUUUUAUAUAGCCUAACUUUGAGAUUAACCGUUUGAUCAUGCCUCCUAAAAAAAAGCAGCAGCCGCCGAAGAAGUAACGGCUAUUUGGUUAGAUUACGGUUGAUACAUUUGUCAAUUUCAUUGUUAGAAUCCAACAAGCACCUGCUGUGGCACGGAAAACUUCUCUUCAUCCACCUACGAUGGUGAUGGUUAAAGAAGCGCUGAAGGAGUUGGACUCUCGAAUGGUCUCAUCGCAGGCCAUUCGCGGCUACAUAACAGAGAAAUAUCCAUCUGUGGACCUGAUGAGGUUGAAGUACAUGACACGCAAGACCCCAAAAAAAGGAACCGAGGGCGGGGUAUUGGUAAGAACACCAACUCGAUAGCAAACGGCGCACAGGGGAGGUUUCGGUCAGGGUUAGGGUGAAGGAGCCCAAGCCAAAGGCCACUGAGAACACUGAUCCCAAUGUGGAGAAGGCUGCCAAGGUUGGAGCCAAGAAGACUAAGGACAAGGAAGCCGAAGCUGAGAAGAAAAAGGCUACAGCCAAAAAGCAGAAGGAGAAACCUUCAGAGG